GAUGAACGCUAGCGGCAGGCCUAACACAUGCAAGUCGAGGGGCAGCACGUCUUCGGAUGGUGGCGACCGGCGCACGGGUGCGUAACGCGUAUGCAACCUACCUCUUACAGUGGGAUAGCCCAGAGAAAUUUGGAUUAAUACCGCAUAGUAUACAGAUUCAGCAUUGGGACUGUAUUAAACAUUUAUGGGUAAGAGAUGGGCAUGCGUUCUAUUAGUUAGUUGGAGUGGUAACGGCACCCAGACAGCGAUAGAUAGGAGCCCUCGAGAGGGGAGUCCCCACCACUGGUACUGAGACACGGACC
rnacentral:rRNA from 1 species